AAUAAGCAUAUCAAUAAGCGGAGGAAAAGAAACCAACCGGGAUUGCCUCAGUAACGGCGAGUGAAGCGGCAAGAGCUCAAAUUUGAAAGCUGGCUCCUUCGGGGUCCGCAUUGUAAUUUGCAGAGGAUGCUUCGGGUGCAGCCCCCGUCUAAGUGCCCUGGAACGGGCCGUCAUAGAGGGUGAGAAUCCCGUAUGGGGCGGGGUGUCUGCGUCCGUGUGAAGCUCCUUCGACGAGUCGAGUUGUUUGGGAAUGCAGCUCUAAAUGGGUGGUAAAUUUCAUCUAAAGCUAAAUACUGGCCGGAGACCGAUAGCGCACAAGUAGAGUGAUCGAAAGAUGAAAAGCACUUUGAAAAGAGAGUUAAACAGCACGUGAAAUUGUUGAAAGGGAAGCGCUUGCAACCAGACUCGCUCGCGGGGUUCAGCCGGGCUUCGGCCCGGUGUACUUCCCCGCGGGCGGGCCAGCGUCGGUUUGGGCGGCCGGUCAAAGGCCUCCGGAAUGUAGCGCCCUUCGGGGCGCCUUAUAGCCGGGGGUGCAAUGCGGCCAGCCUGGACCGAGGAACGCGCUUCGGCACGGACGCUGGCAUAAUGGUUGUAAACGACCCGUCUUGA
rnacentral:rRNA from 1 species